rnacentral:misc_RNA from 1 species
GAUGAAGAACGCAGCGAAAUGCGAUAAGUAGUGUGAAUUGCAGAAUUCAGUGAAUCAUCGAAUCUUUGAACGCACAUUGCGCCCCUUGGUAUCCCGAGGGGCAUGCCUGUUCGAGCGUCAUUUCACCACUCAAGCCUGGCUUGGUGUUGGGCGACGUCCCCUUUGGGGACGCGCCUCGAAGCGCUCGGCGGCGUGGCACCGGCUUUAAGCGUAGCAGAAUCUUUCGCUUUGGAAGUCGGGGCCCCGUCUGCCGGAAGACCUACUCGCAAGGUUGACCUCGGAUCAGGCAGGGAUACCCGCUGAACUUAAGCAUAUCAAUAAGCGGAGGA